rnacentral:misc_RNA from 1 species
AACGCACGAGACCUGCGGACCUGCGGAAGGAUCAUUAGUGAACGCCCUCACGGGCUUAUAACUGUUCCAAACCUCUGUGAACCGUGCCCUUCGGGGCUAUUUUACAAACAUGGUGUAAUGAACGUCAUAUAUCAUAACAAAACAAAACUUUUAACAACGGAUCUCU